rnacentral:rRNA from 1 species
UUAAGCGACUAAGCGUACACGGUGGAUGCCCUGGCAGUCAGAGGCGAUGAAGGACGUGCUAAUCUGCGAUAAGCGUCGGUAAGGUGAUAUGAACCGUUAUAACCGGCGAUUUCCGAAUGGGGAAACCCAGUGUGAUUCGUCACACUAUCAUUAACUGAAUCCAUAGGUUAAUGAGGCGAACCGGGGGAACUGAAACAUCUAAGUACCCCGAGGAAAAGAAAUCAACCGAGAUUCCCCCAGUAGCGGCGAGCGAACGGGGAGGAGCCCAGAGCCUGAAUCAGUGUGUGUGUUAGUGGAAGCGUCUGGAAAGGCGCGCGAUACAGGGUGACAGCCCCGUACACAAAAAUGCACAUACUGUGAGCUCGAUGAGUAGGGCGGGACACGUGGUAUCCUGUCUGAAUAUGGGGGGACCAUCCUCCAAGGCUAAAUACUCCUGACUGACCGAUAGUGAACCAGUACCGUGAGGGAAAGGCGAAAAGAACCCCGGCGAGGGGAGUGAAAAAGAACCUGAAACCGUGUACGUACAAGCAGUGGGAGCCUCUUUUAUGGGGUGACUGCGUACCUUUUGUAUAAUGGGUCAGCGACUUAUAUUCUGUAGCAAGGUUAACCGAAUAGGGGAGCCGAAGGGAAACCGAGUCUUAACUGGGCGUUAAGUUGCAGGGUAUAGACCCGAAACCCGGUGAUCUAGCCAUGGGCAGGUUGAAGGUUGGGUAACACUAACUGGAGGACCGAACCGACUAAUGUUGAAAAAUUAGCGGAUGACUUGUGGCUGGGGGUGAAAGGCCAAUCAAACCGGGAGAUAGCUGGUUCUCCCCGAAAGCUAUUUAGGUAGCGCCUCGUGAACUCAUCUCCGGGGGUAGAGCACUGUUUCGGCAAGGGGGUCAUCCCGACUUACCAACCCGAUGCAAACUGCGAAUACCGGAGAAUGUUAUCACGGGAGACACACGGCGGGUGCUAACGUCCGUCGUGAAGAGGGAAACAACCCAGACCGCCAGCUAAGGUCCCAAAGUCAUGGUUAAGUGGGAAACGAUGUGGGAAGGCCCAGACAGCCAGGAUGUUGGCUUAGAAGCAGCCAUCAUUUAAAGAAAGCGUAAUAGCUCACUGGUCGAGUCGGCCUGCGCGGAAGAUGUAACGGGGCUAAACCAUGCACCGAAGCUGCGGCAGCGACACUAUGUGUUGUUGGGUAGGGGAGCGUUCUGUAAGCCUGUGAAGGUGUACUGUGAGGUAUGCUGGAGGUAUCAGAAGUGCGAAUGCUGACAUAAGUAACGAUAAAGCGGGUGAAAAGCCCGCUCGCCGGAAGACCAAGGGUUCCUGUCCAACGUUAAUCGGGCAGGGUGAGUCGACCCCUAAGGCGAGGCCGAAAGGCGUAGUCGAUGGGAAACAGGUUAAUAUUCCUGUACUUGGUGUUACUGCGAAGGGGGGACGGAGAAGGCUAUGUUGGCCGGGCGACGGUUGUCCCGGUUUAAGCGUGUAGGCUGGUUUUCCAGGCAAAUCCGGAAAAUCAAGGCUGAGGCGUGAUGACGAGGCACUACGGUGCUGAAGCAACAAAUGCCCUGCUUCCAGGAAAAGCCUCUAAGCAUCAGGUAACAUCAAAUCGUACCCCAAACCGACACAGGUGGUCAGGUAGAGAAUACCAAGGCGCUUGAGAGAACUCGGGUGAAGGAACUAGGCAAAAUGGUGCCGUAACUUCGGGAGAAGGCACGCUGAUAUGUAGGUGAAGUCCCUCGCGGAUGGAGCUGAAAUCAGUCGAAGAUACCAGCUGGCUGCAACUGUUUAUUAAAAACACAGCACUGUGCAAACACGAAAGUGGACGUAUACGGUGUGACGCCUGCCCGGUGCCGGAAGGUUAAUUGAUGGGUUAGCGCAAGCGAAGCUCUUGAUCGAAGCCCCGGUAAACGGCGGCCGUAACUAUAACGGUCCUAAGGUAGCGAAAUUCCUUGUCGGGUAAGUUCCGACCUGCACGAAUGGCGUAAUGAUGGCCAGGCUGUCUCCACCCGAGACUCAGUGAAAUUGAACUCGCUGUGAAGAUGCAGUGUACCCGCGGCAAGACGGAAAGACCCCGUGAACCUUUACUAUAGCUUGACACUGAACAUUGAGCCUUGAUGUGUAGGAUAGGUGGGAGGCUUAGAAGUGUGGACGCCAGUCUGCAUGGAGCCGACCUUGAAAUACCACCCUUUAAUGUUUGAUGUUCUAACGUUGACCCGUGAUCCGGGUUGCGGACAGUGUCUGGUGGGUAGUUUGACUGGGGCGGUCUCCUCCUAAAGAGUAACGGAGGAGCACGAAGGUUGGCUAAUCCUGGUCGGACAUCAGGAGGUUAGUGCAAUGGCAUAAGCCAGCUUGACUGCGAGCGUGACGGCGCGAGCAGGUGCGAAAGCAGGUCAUAGUGAUCCGGUGGUUCUGAAUGGAAGGGCCAUCGCUCAACGGAUAAAAGGUACUCCGGGGAUAACAGGCUGAUACCGCCCAAGAGUUCAUAUCGACGGCGGUGUUUGGCACCUCGAUGUCGGCUCAUCACAUCCUGGGGCUGAAGUAGGUCCCAAGGGUAUGGCUGUUCGCCAUUUAAAGUGGUACGCGAGCUGGGUUUAGAACGUCGUGAGACAGUUCGGUCCCUAUCUGCCGUGGGCGCUGGAGAACUGAGGGGGGCUGCUCCUAGUACGAGAGGACCGGAGUGGACGCAUCACUGGUGUUCGGGUUGUCAUGCCAAUGGCACUGCCCGGUAGCUAAAUGCGGAAGAGAUAAGUGCUGAAAGCAUCUAAGCACGAAACUUGCCCCGAGAUGAGUUCUCCCUGACCCUUUAAGGGUCCUGAAGGAACGUUGAAGACGACGACGUUGAUAGGCCGGGUGUGUAAGCGCAGCGAUGCGUUGAGCUAACCGGUACUAAUGAACCGUGAGGCUUAACCUU